rnacentral:rRNA from 1 species
UAGGGAAUAUUGGACAAUGGGCGAAAGCCUGAUCCAGCAAUACCGCGUGAGUGAAGAAGGCCUUAGGGUUGUAAAGCUCUUUCGGCGGGGAAGAUGAUGACGGUACCCGCAGAAGAAGCCCCGGCUAACUUCGUG